rnacentral:misc_RNA from 1 species
GAUGAAGAACGCAGCGAAAUGCGAUACUUGGUGUGAAUUGCAGAAUCCCGUGAACCAUCGAGUCUUUGAACGCAAGUUGCGCCUGAAGCCAUUAGGCCGAGGGCACGCCUGCCUGGGUGUCACACACCGUUACCCUCGCGCCAACGUCCAUCGUUGGCCGCGGCGCGGGGCGUGUGCUGACCUCCCGCGAGCGGGGUCUCGUGGUUGGUUGAAAAUCGAGUUCGCGGUCGAGGGUGCCGUGAUGAAAUGGUGGAUGGGCGACGCCCGAGGCCAAUCACGCGCGACUCUCUCCGGCUCGGACUCCUGGACCCCUUCGGCGUCUCCGGACGCUCUUUGGCGAGACCUCAGGUCAGGCGGGGCUACCCGCUGAGUUUAAGCAUAUCAAUAAGCGGAGGA